CCUACGGGAGGCUGCAGUGAGGAAUAUUGGUCAAUGGGCGCGAGCCUGAACCAGCCAAGUAGCGUGAAGGAUGACUGCCCUACGGGUUGUAAACUUCUUUUAGAAAGGAAUAAAGUGAGGCACGUGUGCCUUGUUGUAUGUACUUUAUGAAUAAGGAUAGGCUCACUCCGCGCCAGCAGCCGCGGUAAUACGGAGGAUGCGAGCGUUAUCCGGAUUUAUUGGGUUUAAAGGGAGCGUAGAUGGGCUGUUAAGUCAGCUGUGAAAGUUUGCGGCUCAACCGUAAAAUUGCAAUUUAUACUGGCAGCCUUGAGUACAGGUGAGGUAGGCGGAAUUCAUGGUGUAGCGGUGAAAUGCUUAGAUAUCACGAAGAACUCCGAUCGCGAAGGCAGCUUACUAAACUGCCACUGACAUUGAUGCUCGAAAGUGUGGGUAUCAAACAGGAUUAGAUACCCGAGUAGUC
rnacentral:rRNA from 1 species